rnacentral:rRNA from 1 species
AUGAACUUCGACCAGCAGUGGACCAACUGGGUGAUGCACCAGUACCACCUCGGGGACCUGGAGCAAGAGAAGGAGCGGGAUCUGGUCCUCUACAAGAUUUUCUACCAGACGAACACUAGGGAUAGGAGUAAAAAGAUUAUAAGCCCAGCCCGUGACGACAACGGGGCACAAAGAUCCAGCAGAUCGAGGGGCACAGACCCCGGCGACCGUGCCGCCCGCGCUCGGAAGCAGACGCCCAUCUCGGCGCUGCCCCUCGCCCUCCUCCCCGGAGCCCCUCUCUCCACGACGCCCCUGCCUCUGCGUCGACCUUGGCGAACGCCGCCGGCGCCGCGCCGUUCGCUACCGUCCUCCUCAUCCCGCUGCUCCACCGGACCUCCCCGAGCCCUCUGCCUAGACCCCACACUCCCGCGCCACUACCCCGACGAAGCCCGAACCACCGCCGCCUCGUUUGGUCGCCGGCGCGUCUCCGGUGACCUUUUGGUCAAGGGCCCGUGUGCGUUGUCCUCGCACGCGCGCAGAGCAUGCCCGAAGCUUUAG